AUCGAUGAAGAACGCAGCGAAAUGCGAUAAUUAAUGUGAAUUGCAGAAUUCAGUGAAUCAUCAAAUCUUUGAACGCACAUUGCGCCCCAUUAGUAUUCNASUGGGCAUGCCUGUUCGAGCGUCAUUUCAACCCUUAAACCUAGCUUAKUGUUGGGAAUGUACUGUAUUGUACUUCCUGAAAUACAACGGCGGAUCUGUAAUAUCCUCUGAGCGUAGUAAAUUUUUUCUCGCUUUGGUUAGGUGUUGCAGCUCUCAGCCGCUAAACCCCCCAAUUUUAAUGGUGGACCUCGGAUCAGGUAGGAAUACCCGCUGAACUUAAGCAUAUCAAUAAGCGGAGGAAAAGAAACCAACAGGGAUUGCCCUAGUAACGGCGAGUGAAGCGGCAACAGCUCAAAUUUGAAAUCUGGCCCUUGGGUCCGAAUUGUAAUUUGUAGAGGAUGUUUUUGGUGCGGUAUCUUCCGAGUUCCUUGGAACAGGACGCCUUAGAGGGUGAGAGCCCCGUACGGUUGAAUGCCUAGCCUCUGUAAAACUCCUUCGACGAGUCGAGUAGUUUGGGAAUGCUGCUCUAAAUGGGAGGUAAAUUUCUUCUAAAGCUAAAUACUGGCCAGAGACCGAUAGCGCACAAGUAGAGUGAUCGAAAGAUGAAAAGCACUUUGAAAAGAGGGUUAAAUAGCACGUGAAAUUGUUGAAAAGGAGAUUUAUGNCCAGAUUUUUGGGCGGAUCAUCCGGUGUUCUCACCGGUCACUUUGCACAGUUUAGGCCAGCAUCGAUUUUCSGUGGGGGAUAAAAGCUUUAAGAAUGUGGCUCUUUCCGGAGUGUUAUAGCCUAUUGUAUAAUACCCUACUGGGGAUCGAGGUACGCGCUUCUGCAAGGAGCUCGYUGUAAUGGUUAUCAAUCACCCGUCUUGAAACACGG
rnacentral:rRNA from 1 species